AUUGAACGCUGGCGGCAUGGCUAAAACAUGCAAGUCGAACGCGAACGGGGGCAACCCCUAGUAGAGUGGCGAAAGGGCGAGGAAUAGAUUCCUACGUGCCUCAAGGUCGGGGAUACCUCGGAGAAAUCCGAAUCAAUACCCGAUGUGGUCGGAAACGAUCAAAGGCUUGCUGCCUUGAGAGCGGGGAAUCUCCUAUCAGGUAGUUGGUAGGGUAAUGGCCUACCAAGCCGAAGACGGGUAGCGGGUGUGAGAGCACGGCCCGCCGCAUCGAGACUGAGACACUGCUCGGACUCCUACGGGAGGCUGCAGUAACGAAUCUUCCGCAAUGCGCGAAAGCGUGACGGGGCAAUGCCGCGUGUGGGAUGAAGCCCUUCGGGUGUAACCACUGUCAGGUGCAGGAACUCAAUGACCAUACCCAAAGGAAGCACCGGCUAACUCUGUG
rnacentral:rRNA from 1 species